ensembl:lincRNA
GGCGGGAGCGCGCGGACUCGGCUUCCCUCCGGAGCAGCCCGCCGCGAGGGCGCGAGCCAGCGGAAGGCGGGGAAGGCGCAGGGUUCCUCAGCAGCGAGAAAGAAAGGAAGAGGUGGAAACUAAGCGGCGCGGCGCGGCGCGAGUGGACUCUGGUCUGGGCGAGCGCGGCCGGCGCCGGGACGCGGACCCGGGCUGCGCAGAGCAAACAAAGCUCGCGGGGGCCCCGAAAGUUUGUCCCGCGAUGGCUUGAGCGCGCGCGGAGAGGCUGCCGCCCGCUCGGCGCGAGUGAUGCUCCUCCCGUGAGCCGCGGCGGCGGCCGGGCACCUGCCUGCGUGCCUUCGCCUCCUUUCCACUGUAUUUAUUUAUUCUCCGUCGAGGCGGUGUGAGUCGUCAUGUCGAAAGUGAUCCAGAGGAAGAACCACUGGACGAGCAGGGUGCGCGAGUGCACCGUGAGGCGCGGGCCGCGGGGCGAGCUGGGGCUGACCGUGCUGGGGGGCGCGGAGCACGGGGAGUUCCCGUUCCUCGGGGCGGCCGGGGCGGCGGGCGACGGCGAGCUGCUGCUGGAGGUGCAGGGCGUCCGCGUGUCCGGCUUGCCCCGCUACGACGUGCUGGGCGUCAUCGACAGCUGCAAAGAGGCCGUCACCUUCAAAGCCGUCCGGCAAGGGAUCGAACUCACAACCUUGCACUUGCCAAGCAGGCGCUUAGGCCACUGAGCUGUGUCCCCAACCCCUAGGUUUCACUCUUCAAAGGAAUACAGGUGUGUCCUUAUACCUUACUUAUGUUCUUUGCUGUGCAUACUGUCAAAUAAUUUCUAAACAUUUGGCCCUCCAAGAUGUCUUUUACUCCAACCUGUGUUUUUAGUGUUAACAUGAGAUUUCGAUGAGUCUGUAUCUAAUCUAGCUCACUGAGUAGCCAGCCACACUCUUGCCUCUCAAUAAUUUUUACCUUCUCAUGCUAAUACCCUUUUGCAAUCCCCUUCCAGACUGAAGAGGAGUGACAUUUGAGCCCUAAUAAUGAUAGAGGGAAAAGAAACUCCCAACCUGAAAGAUCUCUGGGAUGAGUUCAUGUUCUUUAAAAUCAAAGGAUAAAUUUUAGGAACAAUGGAGGUUAAGAGCAGAAUAUAUUUAUUGAGGAAAAGAAAGCUUCUGUCUGAGAGAGGGACAGAAAGGGACCCAAGUGGUAUGCCAAGGAACUUGGCCUUUCCUAGGUAUUUUUUUUUGUACUGGGAAUUGAACUCAGUACCUUGUGCUUGCCAAGCAGGCGCUUAUGACACAGAGCUACCUCCCAGGCCCUUUCCUAGGGAUUUUAAUAGAGCAAAUCCACAAGGUGAGGCGGGUUCAAGGUGGGAAACAUGGGAACUCACUAGGUGGGUAUGACGCGGGAUGAAACUAUUGUCAACCAGUAUAAUUGUUCAGGUAGAAUUGAUUAAAUUGGGAUCAAAUAGGGAAGCAAGUCACAGAACAAGGGCCUUUUCCUGUAGGGAUUAGUGACUCUUCCUGGCUUUUUAAAGGUGAUUGCUGCCUAUUUAGAAUAUCAAUUCCUGAGGUCCAUCCCUAGGGAGGCAUGUGGGUGCAUUGGUUUAAUCUUUUGUCUUGAGGUCGGGCCCACAGCUGCAAGGUAUCUUGUCUUCCAUACUGGCUCCCUGGAGGGCCCAUCCCUGUCUGAUUGCCUAUAAUAUUGCCUAUAAUAUUCUAUCUAUUCAGUUGCCUACGCUUCUUGGCCUUUUGGCUAAGAUCAAGUGUAUUCAGUUGCCUACAACAAUAAUAUGGUAGAAGUGAGAGAAUGUUACUCUCAAGGCUAGGUUAUAACACAUGGUGGCUUCUACCUUGCUUUCUAGCUUUAUUUGGGAAUAAGGUACUUGCUCUAAUCUGAAGCCAUGCAAGAAACUUUUUGGAAAGGUCCUUGGAGUGAGGAACUGAGAUCUCUUGCCAACAACUCUUGAUAUCCUUCAGCCACAACCAACCUUUUGGAUGAUUAUUACACAGUCCAGCAUUUUGACUGCAGCCACACAAGAGUGUAAACUGUCUCACCCAGCUGCUCCUGACUCACCAAAACUGUGUAUAAAUGUAUAAACUGAGAUAAUAAAUGUUGGUUGCUUUACAUUACUACACUGCCCCCAUUUUGCAGUCUUUCUGAACUCCAAGGGAAGCACACAUAGGUGUAUCAGCUGAGUUUAGCUGGGAAAGUUUCUCUGUGCCAUGCUUAGUACACAAAAUAAUUAUUGAGAGAUACGUGACUAUAGCUUCCCUGGGUACCUCACUUCCAGUACAGCAUUCGGUUAGAAGUUCCCUAGAAGGAUUACCUGCCCCCCCCUUUCACACACUGCACAUUCUUCAUAAGGUUAAAACUGAAAAGAUAGAACUGUCAAGUAAAUACAGUUAGUAUAGGAUAGUAUAACAUUCUACUUUAUCUUACAAAUAAACGAUAUGUAUUUGGUUGCAAGUAGCAGCUUAAAUGGAGGAAGAAUUUAUUAUAUAGAGAAAUGAAGUCUUAUGUAACCGACAUGAGGGUGGAAGAGGGCUUCAUGAAAGAUGCAGAACAGAAUAGAAAGUUACAGGGCCUCUUAUUUUAUCUCUUCUUUCUUUUGAGUAUCUUUCUCUCCAGAUGAUCUCUCUGAUUUUCUAUCUACAUGGUGAUAUUUGGAAGCCCCACAAUUCCUUAUGACAACUUUGAUUCAUUGGUAGAACUUAUCCUAUGUCAGUUUCUAAGCCAAUCAGUACUUGCAGGUGUGGAGCACUAAGCUGACUUAUGGCACAUUCCUGUUGGUGUGUGUGUGUGUGUGUUUGUUGAGGGCAGUGGGAUGCUGAAGAGCAGUUUAGAUUCUGAUGCAGGAGCUUGAGGGACACACAUAUACCACAAAGAUACCUGCUACCCUAGGAGAGAAUUUAGGAAACUCAGUUUUAGGAAAAUCGAUAUAUUAUGUAAUCUUUAUGAGUCAACAAAUUAUCACCCUUUUGUUCUGCAAAGCAGCAAUAGAUG